GCAUCAUUACCGGUGGUACAUAUUCAAAGAUUGGAACGAUACAGAGAUUAGCAUGGCCCCUGCGCAAGGAUGACAUGCAAAUUCGUGAAGCGUUCUUUAUUUUU